rnacentral:rRNA from 1 species
GCGUGAGUGAUGAAGGCCUUAGGGUUGUAAAGCUCUUUUACCCGGGAUGAUAAUGACAGUACCGGGAGAAUAAGCUCCGGCUAACUCCGUGCCAGCAGCCGCGGUAAUACGGAGGGAGCUAGCGUUGUUCGGAAUUACUGGGCGUAAAGCGCGCGUAGGCGGCUUGCCAAGUCAGAGGUGAAAUCCCGGGGCUCAACCCCGGAACUGCCUUUGAAACUAUCAAGCUAGAAUCUUGGAGAGGCGAGUGGAAUUCCGAGUGUAGAGGUGAAAUUCGU